CCUCGUGUGAGGCACAGUGAUUUUUUUAUAUAGCUUUUUUUCCAGCUUGCCUGCCGUGUGCUGCAGAAAUGAUCCCACAGUGCUCAGGUCCUAGGAGCAGUGGUUACUCACCCUCAAGGCUUGAGAGCGUAGUGCAGAGGAAAUGAAAGCAAUGACUUAUGCUGGUGGAAAAGGCAACAGCUGGAUGUGCCUCCUUCGUGCCGGCCCUCCUAUGUACAGUCAGUGUUGCACUGACCUUUGUCUGGAAAACCAAAACAUGCUGAACGAUGUCCUCCAGCUAUCUUUUUCGGAUCCUGAAAUGAGGCUCAACUCAUUGU
ensembl:lncRNA